AUCUAUCUGACGAGUCCACAGUAGGACGAAACGCGUGUCCUACAU
rnacentral:hammerhead_ribozyme from 1 species